rnacentral:rRNA from 1 species
CGCGUAGGCGGUGCGGUAAGUCUGUAGUGAAAUCUCUGGGCUCAACUCAGAGUCUGCUAUAGAAACUGCCGUGCUUGAGUGUGGGAGAGGUGAGUGGAAUUCCCAGUGUAGCGGUGAAAUGCGUAGAUAUUGGGAGGAACACCAGUGGCGAAGGCGGCUCACUGGACCGGUUCUGACGCUGAUGCGCGAAAGCGUGGGGAGCAAACG